UACAGAGGGGGCAAGCGUUGUUCGGAAUUACUGGGCGUAAAGGGCGCGUAGGCGGCCUGUUAAGUCGAACGUGAAAUCCCCGGGCUCAACCCGGGAACUGCGUCCGAUACUGGCAGGCUUGAGUCCGGGAGAGGGAUGCGGAAUUCCAGGUGUAGCGGUGAAAUGCGUAGAUAUCUGGAGGAACACCGGUGGCGAAGGCGGCAUCCUGGACCAAUAUUGACGCUGAGGAGCGAAAGCCAGGGGAGCAAACGGG
rnacentral:rRNA from 1 species